UUGCGACUAAGGAGAGAUGGGUUUUCAGUUUUCAAUGAGGGGACGGUGGUGGGUUUCAAUGAGCGGAGAUGAUAGGUCUGAGUUGAUGCCGAAUCUGUAACCCAGGCAGAUCAGAGAUGGUGACAAAUUUGAGCAGAUGUCGGAUUUGGUGAGUGAAUAUGAAGAACCGAGCUCGAGCAGUGCCAUUACUUCAGAAGGUGAUGUCAGUGGCUAUUAACAUGCUGCUAUAUCUACAUAGUAUUUGGUCUAUCAAGUUCGUCCAUAGUUCCACAAGGCAUUUAUCCACCGUGGUCACCUGAUGUUUAUAAGGCUGCAUGUAAUCUGUUGAAGGACCCAACCGAGCAAACUGGCAUUGAUAACUUCAUGGUACAACAACUUGAUGGAACAGUUAAUGAGUGGGGCUGGUGCAAGCAGAAGGUAUCAUGGUUGUUCCUCAUUUAUUUUUAUUUUAUAGGAGUUUAUGAUCCUUCCUGUUGGGGCAUCCACUUUCAAGGAAGCCAUGAAGAUGGGUGUCGAAGUAUAUCACCAUUUGAAGGCAAGCUUUUAUUUUGCUUAACAACUUCAAAAAUUGUCCAUUUAGGUCUCAGCUACAAACUUUGAUUCCCACUUCUCCUUCAGGCUAUGAUUAAGAAAAAAUAUGGCCAAGAUGCAAUGAAUGUUGGUGAUGAAGGUGGCUUUGCACCUAAUAUUCAGGUUUGUUGCUAAUUUAGCUUUUCCACCUUGAGAGAGCAAAAAGGAAAGACGAGAAUCCCUGAACACUGUCAUGAUUUGCAUCCAUAUACGUGUUCUCAAUUACCAAUAUCAUGACAUGAGAUUACCGUAUAGGUGCAUGUUGAUGGGAAAUGGAUGAUUGAUGAGCUUUUAAUUUUCCAUUUAUAUAUUUUUCAGAUUUUUUUUUUUUGUUUGGUAAUUUAAGAAAAUCAGAAAUCUUACAAUUGGUGUAGGGAAAUUGGUGAAGCCAAGC